rnacentral:tRNA from 1 species
GGCCGGCUAGCUCAGUGGGUUAGAGAGUGGUGCUGAAAACACCAAGGUCGUGGGUUCGAUCCCCAUUCGGUCC